rnacentral:rRNA from 1 species
AGAGCGAACGCUGGCGGCAGGCCUAACACAUGCAAGUCGAACGGACCCUUCGGGGUUAGUGGCGGACGGGUGAGUAACACGUGGGAACGUGCCUUUAGGUUCGGAAUAGCUCCUGGAAACGGGUGGUAAUGCCGAAUGUGCCCUUCGGGGGAAAGAUUUAUCGCCUUUAGAGCGGCCCGCGUCUGAUUAGCUAGUUGGUGAGGUAACGGCUCACCAAGGCGACGAUCAGUAGCUGGUCUGAGAGGAUGACCAGCCACACUGGGACUGAGACACGGCCCAGACUCCUACGGGAGGCAGCAGUGGGGAAUCUUGCGCAAUGGGCGAAAGCCUGACGCAGCCAUGCCGCGUGAAUGAUGAAGGUCUUAGGAUUGUAAAAUUCUUUCACCGGGGACGAUAAUGACGGUACCCGGAGAAGAAGCCCCGGCUAACUUCGUGCCAGCAGCCGC